CAUUUUAAUUUUUGACGAUUUUUAUUUCUCGUGGAGAGAUACCGAAAAUGGGAUUUUCGGUGGAUAUAAAUAUGUAUUUAUGAGAGAGUAUGUAUAUAAAAUGCUAGCUAGCCAUAUGUGUCUGUCCACCUUAAUGGCGUAGCAUAUAGCCGCAUUAUGGUGUGACGUGAGCGUUGGACGUAAGCGUAGUAGCCCUAUUUGAGUGUUUAAUUCAUAUAGGGGGUAUGGACACAUAUUUAUACACCUGUCUGUCCACCUUGAUGGCGUAGUGUAGCACCGCAUUAAGGCGUGACGUGAGCGUUGGACGCGAGCGUAGUAGCCCUAUAUAGACCCAUGAAUUUAUAUAGGGAGUAUGGACGAGUGUAAAUACAUACAUAUAUUAUAGAGUAUGAGAGGCUCGAUAUUUUAUGGGAUAAAAGUUUUAUCGCUUGCGGCAUGCAUUCGAUUUUUCCUUAGUAAAUUAAUUUGGGAAACAUAAUAUUUUAUUUAUUAUUUUAUUUUGUCCACUCACUCUAACGUUAUUAAAUGUUUUCCCCUGGGCCCUCGUUUAAAUUGCCCAGUCUGCAGAGUUCGGGUUGGAUCUAGUAGGAGACGAGGCAUAGUCACCCGCAUUUCUGCCAGUUUUCGCCAGUAGGUUACCUGUUCAACCUACUCGUGUUUUCUUGCUUCCGCUUGUGUUUAGUAGCUCUGAAUACUUUGGGAUUAUUGUAUAUUAUGUGAGGUUCGGAAGUGUUGAAUUAAGAGUGUAAUAUGAAAUUUUCGAGUUAGGGUUGUCCAUCUGCAAGGGAGAUUUUCUUAAUCUUUUCAGUAAAUUUUCCUUGGAGGUGGUCCCCGCACGACUUACUCUGGGUUUCAGGGUGAAAUUCGGGGUGGGUCGUGUCAAAGAGCUUAUAUGAGACGUAUCAAUACACAAAGAUAUUGUUGUGUAUGGCUAGAUACGCCAUGAGAUAUUUCAAUUUUUUAUGCCAAUUUGCUUAUGUUGUUUAGCUAUUGCUUAGUGUAUGAAUUUGAUCAUAUAACUAAAUGAGAUAAGACGUAUUAGAAAUCGUUUAACUCUGUUAGUAUUGUUUUAACUUUGUAGGUACACAAUUUCAUGAUGAGCCCUCAUAUGCAAAGCACGCAUGGUCUCAUUUUAGUGAUGGACAAAUUAAACCGUUAUUUACAGUGCAUGAAUCUUGCAACGUUCAAAGGGAGAUUCUCAUCAGGGGGAGCAUCUAGAAGUAUGUUAUACCUAAGACAUAUGCGUGUUGUACUCUUUUUCUCCUUCGACCAUGGUUAUUUUCUCCCACUGGGUUUUUCUUACCUGGUAAGGUUUUUAAUGAGACAACAUUAAGCGCGUUCAAUUUCAUCAUUUAUUGGUGGACAUCCAAGAGGGGGUGUUAUAAAUAUUAUAAUCUAUGUGGUUGUCCACGUAAUUACUCAUUAGUUAUGUACUAUGAUGUAAACCCUACAUUUAUAUAAGGAGGCUAAUAAGAAUGAAUGAGAACACUUCUACCUUCUCUCAAUUAUUCUCUUUGUGUCUUCUCUUCUUUCUUUUCUGUACUUUACAAUAAUUUUAUAUAAGUUUAUUUUAUUUUCAAAACAUGAAGUCGUACGAUUUUAUAAAUAUGCAAGUAAUACAAAAACAAUGCACCUUGUAAAGUCGUCAGAAAGCAUUGUUUUUUAAAAUCUCAAAUCCAAUACUACCCGAAGCAUAAGUUUGAUAUUCCAAGUACACCCACAUUCCAGCAACUAUAUUCCAAGUACACCCACAUUGCAGCAACUAACCACUUUUGUGUCUUCUCUUCUUCUUUUCUUUACUUUACAAUAAUUUUAUAUAAUUUUAUUUUAUUUUCAAAACAUGAAG
rnacentral:lncRNA from 1 species